UGGCGGCAGGCCUAACACAUGCAAGUCGAGCGGUAGCACAGAGAGCUUGCUCUCGGGUGACGAGCGGCGGACGGGUGAGUAAUGUCUGGGAAACUGCCUGAUGGAGGGGGAUAACUACUGGAAACGGUAGCUAAUACCGCAUAACGUCGCAAGACCAAAGUGGGGGACCUUCGGGCCUCAUGCCAUCAGAUGUGCCCAGAUGGGAUUAGCUAGUAGGUGGGGUAACGGCUCACCUAGGCGACGAUCCCUAGCUGGUCUGAGAGGAUGACCAGCCACACUGGAACUGAGACACGGUCCAGACUCCUACGGGAGGCAGCAGUGGGGAAUAUUGCACAAUGGGCGCAAGCCUGAUGCAGCCAUGCCGCGUGUGUGAAGAAGGCCUUCGGGUUGUAAAGCACUUUCAGCGGGGAGGAAGGCGAUAAGGUUAAUAACCUUGUCGAUUGACGUUACCCCGCAGAAGAAGCACCGGCUAACUCCGUGCCAGCAGCCGCGGUAAUACGGAGGGUGCAAGCGUUAAUCGGAAUUACUGGGCGUAAAGCGCACGCAGGCGGUCUGUCAAGUCGGAUGUGAAAUCCC
rnacentral:rRNA from 1 species